rnacentral:rRNA from 1 species
AACGAGACCUUAACCUGCUAAAUCGCCCGUAUUGCUUUGGCAGUACGCUGGCUUCUUAGAGGGACUAUCGGUUCAAGCCGAUGGAAUUUGGAUGCAAUAACAGGUCUGUGAUGCCCUUAGAUUUUCUUGGACUCCCGCGCGCUUCCCUGACGGAGCCAGCGAGUCCUCCCUUGGCCGAAAGGCCUGGGUAAUCUUGUGAAACUC